rnacentral:rRNA from 1 species
GACGAACGCUGGCGGCGUGCUUAACACAUGCAAGUCGAACGAAGAGCGAUGGAAGCUUGCUUCUAUCAAUCUUAGUGGCGAACGGGUGAGUAACGCGUAAUCAACCUGCCCUUCAGAGGGGGACAACAGUUGGAAACGACUGCUAAUACCGCAUACGAUCUAAUCUCGGCAUCGAGGAUAGAUGAAAGGUGGCCUCUACAUGUAUGCUAUCACUGCAGGUGGGUAUUGCGUUUGAUUAGCUAGUUGGAGGGGUAAGGGCCCACCAAGGCGAUGAUCAGUAGGCGGUCGGGAAGGAUGAACGGCCACAUUGGGAAUGAGACCAGGCCCAGACUCCUACGGGAGGGAGCAGUGGGGAAUCUUCCGCAAUGGACGAAAGUCUGACGGAGCAACGCCGCGGGAGUGAUGACGGCCUUCGGGUUGUAAAGCUCUGUUAAUCGGGACGAAAGGCCUUCUUGCGAAUAGGGAGAAGGAUUGACGGUACCGGAAGAGAAAGCCACGGCUAACUACGUG